UACAGAGGGUGCUAGCGUUAAUCGGAAUUACUGGGCGUAAAGCGCGUGUAGGUGGCUAUUUAAGUCGGACGUGAAAGCCCCGGGCUCAACCUGGGAAUCGCGCUCGAUACUGAAUGUCUAGAGUAUGAUAGAGGGAAGUGGAAUUUCGGGUGUAGCGGUGAAAUGCGUAGAUAUCGGAAGGAACACCAGUGGCGAAGGCGGCUUUCUGGCCCGUUCUUGACGCUGAGGCGCGAAAGCUAGGGUAGCAAACGGG
rnacentral:rRNA from 1 species